rnacentral:lncRNA from 1 species
GCACAGUCCAUGUAAUUCACCACUCAGCACCCCUAGCCUGCCUUUUCCUGACUUUGGCUUAAAGCGUGUCCGCAGGGAAGUGAACUAAGUUUGUAAACCUGAAGGGUGAGAUCCAGCCAUGAAGGAAAGAUGUUGAGGAGCUAAUGUAAGCCACAAGCCAAAUCAGAGUUUUGGGACCAAGAGUACAAGUUGAUGAGUUAGCAUCGAAGGAGUGAAAAGACACUUUCAUCCUGAGACAGGAGAGAAAUAACAAAUAGACAGUGGAGGAGAAACUUGAGGUCCAGAGGAGAGGGGUUGCAGUAUGUCCCCUGGCUGUUCUGCCUUCUCCACCGAUGUGUAGUGGGUGUUGGAGUUUCACUAAAGAAGUCUCCAUUUCAAGAAUGCAGGUUGGAUGCAACCCAUUUCAAUCAGUGGAAAGAGAAGUGGAAACUCAAGAGGUGAGAAAAUGCUUUUAGUAAGGACCAUCAACCUAGAG